rnacentral:rRNA from 1 species
AGUCAGAUUGUGGUUUCGUUCUUCAGAACAGCUGCAAUCAUUUAUGAGGAUCAUAAUGCCGCAUAUUGCGGUUGAACAAAUGAUUCCCAAAUUUAUCCUUCUGUACCAUAAUCAUCAACUUCAGCAACGCUGGAUCUCUGAGGUAGCUCGGUUGUCUCGAUUUCCUUUAUCUGCGGUAGAAAAGCAUUUUCAACAGAAAAAGGAACGAUGGAAGGAAUACCGAAAUGCAUCAGAGAAUGAUAUAGUCCAACCUCUGCGGUAACGUAGAGAAUAAAUUGACCCCAGUAGUCCACGCUGUAAACGAUGGGUACUGGACAUUGGAAGUGUCGACCCUUCCAGUGUCGUUGUUUGUAAGCUCACGCAUUAAGUACCCCGCCUGGGGAGUACGGUCGCAAGACUAAAACUCAAAGGAAUUGACGGGAACCCGCACAAGCGGUGGAGCAUGUGGUUCAAUUCGACGGUAAGCGAGGAACCUUACCAGGGCUUGACAUGAUGCUGCAAGCGCACGGAAACGUGUGACCUUCGAGGGUGCAUCACAGGUGCUGCAUGGCUGUCGUCAGCUCGUGUCGUGAGAUGUACCGUUAAGUCGGGUAACGAGCGCAACCCCUACGAUGUGUUACUUCGUGUCACAUCGAACUGCCUCGGUUAACGGGGAGGAAGGUGGGGAUGACGUCAAGUCAGCAUGGCCCUUACGUCCUGGGCUACACACGUGCUACAAUGGGGCGCACAAUGGGGCGCCAAGGAGCAAUCCGGAGCAAAUCCCAUCAAAACGCCCCCCAGUUCAGAUUGAGGGCUGCAACCCGCCCUCAUGAAGCAGGAAUCGCUAGUAACCGCGGAUCAGCCUCGCCGCGGUGAAUACGUUCUCGGGUUUUGUACACGGACCGCUUGGUAGCGGACAAUUAAUGCCGGUGAAAAUCCGGCCAAACUUCGAUGAAGAGUUUGAAGCAAUGGACACGCUAAAGCUCGUGAGGGCUUUAACGAGAGUUCGGAU